GACAGAGGGUGCAAACGUUGUUCGGAAUUACUGGGCGUAAAGCGCGUGUAGGCUGCUCAGCAAGUCGGAUGUGAGAGCCCUGGGCUUAACCUAGGAAGUGCAUUCGAAACUUCUGAGCUAGAGUUCUGGAGAGGAAGGCGGAAUUCUCGGUGUAGAGGUGAAAUUCGUAGAUAUCGAGAGGAACACCGGUGGCGAAGGCGGCCUUCUGGACAGUGACUGACGCUGAGACGCGAAAGCGUGGGGAGCAAACAGG
rnacentral:rRNA from 1 species